rnacentral:lncRNA from 1 species
AAAUAUCCAUUUCUAUUUUGAUUAUCCUUUGUGUUCUAACCUAAAUGCGUGGAAGGUUGACAAUCUUGUAUCAGAAUUUCUGCCAAUUCUACACACCAUAAGCACAGGUGCAAAGGAUGAGAGCAGUUGGUUCCAAAUUAAGCAUACAACAAAUAGAAAGUAUAAGCUAGUGUUUUGUCUCUUUGACACUUAUUGCCAAGACAUUGGCAUCGUCUCACAAAGUGGUUAUCAUCGUUUGGUUCUCUCGGACAACCCAAAGCCUUUUUGCUCAAACUGGAUGAUAGAAUUGGAAUGGCAGCAGAAGUAUGAUCUUGUCAUGUUAUGCCUAGAUCUACUCUACGUAAUGUAUAAUAAUAAUGCAUGUAGGUACUUUAUCCUGUUGCAUGGAUGUAAAACUUGAUAAUAAUGUAAUAGGGGUCUGUCUAUGUGCCCCUUAUAUAUGAUCACAUGAUAUAUAUUAUGUAUUGAUAAGGAUAUCAUUAAAGACUGUGGUUCAUUCCUUGAGAAGUCUCUUUAGACCUCUAUGAUUUCAAAGAAUUAAUUAAGGCACAUAAGAAUAAGUACAGAGCCUGGAUCAAUAAACAUCGUAGAUGCUCAAUGACCAAUUGGGACAAUACACGCAAUGACCUGUUCGACAACUAACUAUGAAAAUCAUGUAGUCAUAUAUACCAUCACUUUUUUCAAGAUACUAUUAUUUCUAUAUUAAAAGUCGCUGUGAUUAAACAUUAGUACUAAAUAACUAUUCUCAGUUGUCAAUUUGGAAUAAAACAUCACUUACUUCUUCCCAUUUUGGCCAGUCAUUUUUUGGUCGACAUUCUGUGACAGAUUGAUGUUCAUGAUCCCCACUAUCUUGUAAGAUUUUCGCUGCAACAUUAUAUGCAAAGACAUAAUCUACUACUAUUUCAGAUCUAUUCAAAUUAGUUUCAACAUCACUUGAAUUUAUGGAUAGUUUCUCAUUUUCUUGAGUCUCAGGCUCAUUAAUUCCUUCAGGACUAUCAACAUUGCUCAAAUCUUGAACUUCCAUAUGAGGAUCUUUCAUAGUGUCAUCUUGACCAUUUGUUUUUAUUUUUCUAGGAUUUCGAUCCUUAGAACCUAAUGGUACACCAGGCUUCAAGCGCGCUUUAGAUUCAUUAGCUAUGACACUAGUGGAUGGUCCUUUAGGGACAUCAAUUCAAAUUGAGAAAUAUUCUGAAGGAAUAUGUGAUUUAGCGAUCCUUUUCAAAUCUGUAAAUGCGUCUGGCAUUUGAUUUGCAAUUUUCUACAGAUGAAUAAUCUUUUGUACUUCUUGUCCACAAAUAGAAGCACGUGAAUCAAGUUGAGAUAGUGAUGGAUUUUUUCACAAAAUUUCUCUUUUGAUGUCAUUAUUUUCUCCCCCCAAUUUUGGAAAAACUAUUUCAUCAAAUCGACAAUCUGCAAAUCGAGCCGUGAACAUAUCUCCCGUUAAUGGUUUAAGAUAGUGAAUAAUGGAGGGUGAUUCAAACCCAACAUAAGUUUCUAACCUUCUUUGGAGGCCCAUUUUGGUGUGAUUUAGUUAUUUUAUAGGCGCAUAUACACCGUAUCCAAAAAUUCUCUGAUGAGAUAUAUUAGGCUCUUGACCAAAAAUCAAUUACAACGUAGAAAAUUUAUGAUAAUUUAUCGGUCUAAGACGAACAAGUGUUGCAACAUGCAAAAUUGCACGACCCUAAACAAAGUGGACAACUUAGUUUUCAUAAGCAAUGGUCUUGCUAUCAACUGCAGACGUUUAAUUAAUGACUCGACAAGGCCAUUUUGAGUGUGAACAUGGGGUAUAGAAUGUUCAAGUCUUAUUCCAAUCGAUAAACAAUAGUCAUUAAAUGCUUGAAAUGAAAAUUCUGUGGCAUUAUCAAGGCGAAUAGACUUAAUUUGAUUAUGAGGAAACUGUGCCCGUAAUCGUAUUAUUUGUGCCAAUAAUUUUACAAAUGCCAAGUUGUGAGAUGACAAUAAGCACACAUGAGACCAUUUAGAAAAAGCAUUUAUUAGGACCAUAAAGUAUCUAAACGACCCACUAGGUGGGUGAAUGGGUCCAUAAAUAUCCCCAUGUAUGCGUUCCAAGAAUGCGGGGGAUUCAAUCCCAACUUUUGUUGGCGAUGGACUCACAAUAAUCUUGCCUUGAUAAUAAGCAUUACACGAAAAUUCACCAUUCAAAUUAACCUUCAAGUUCUUUAAUGGAUGCCCAUUUAAAUUUUCUAUGAUUUGUCUCAUCAUUAUAGAUCCAGGAUGUCCCAGAUGAUCAUGCCAAAGUACGAGAGUAUUGGAAUUAGUAAACUUCUUGUUUACUAUAGAAUGUGCCUCAAUUGCACAAAUCUUUAGCCAAUAUAGGUCAGAAGAUAAAGCAGGGAACUUUUCUAUAACACAUGUCUGCCAAGAGACAUUCUUGGUGAUACAAAGAUAUUCAAGAUUGAUUUCAUCAAUUGUCUUGAUAUGAUAACCAUUUUCAUGGAUAUCUUUAAAAUCCAUUAAGUUUCUCCGAGACUUAGGAGAAAACAUAACAUUAUUUAUGAUGAGUUUAGCUCCCUUGGGCAUGAUUAUAAUGGCUUUUCCGAAGAAUUCAAUCAAAUUAGCACUACCAAAAAUUGUAGUAAUAUUAAUCUUGACCAUGUUUAGAUGAGAGAAAUAUUUUUCGUCUUUGAAUAACGUAUGUGUAGUGCCAGAAUCAAUCAAACAAAUAUCUUCACAAUUAGACAGCUUACUUUGAAAAUUAUCCGUAUCUUCAAGUACAAUAACAUAUAUCAAGUUAAAUAUAUAUUAAAUCUUUGUACAAAGAUAAAGAUUAUACUAUAAGAAAUUGUUAAUCACACUUUACUAAGUAAUUAAAAAGAAUAUGUCCAAUUAGUGUGUGCUUAGCUUAGCUUAACAUUUUAUUUUUCAAUAGAAAGAAGAAAAAAAUGCAUUGUAUUUUUCAAUAAUUAAAAAAAAAAAGAAUAAAAACACGUAUCCAUGGAGCCAACAAUCAAUUCACUAAUAAAUAAUAAUAACUUGCAUGGGCCACCAAUCAAGUCUCUUUUUUUUUUCUUUUUUUUUUUUCCUUUUGUAGCGCCUUUCAUUUGCUUUACUUAAUGUAUCGUCCAAUCAAUCUUUUUCUUUUUCUUUUUUCUUUUGCAGGACCUACCAUUGGCUUUAAAUAAUGUAUCAUUUUUUCCUUUCUUUUUUGUCAAUAAAUAAUGAAAAAAUUGAAAUCCAAUUUAAUGCAAUAAUAAACCACAAUAAUAAAAUUAAACUAAUUAAUAUUAAUCAAAACCUAAUACUCAUGCAAACAACUACUUUUACAUGAUUUUUAUUCACUAACUCUUAUUAACAGUAAAAAAAAUAAAUUAAAAAUUAUUCAUUCUUCCAUGUUUACGAAACUGUCACCAAUCAAGUGAUCAAUUUCUUUCUACAUCCAACCAUAUGAUGUCAACAUUAUUUUCAGUGAAAAAGUUAGCUCGAAAUUUCUUUCUUUCUUCUUUAGUGAUGCUAGAUAAAGAUCAACCAAGUGCUUGAGAGCACGACAAUCACGUGAAUAAUGUCCUUUUUCACCACAUCGAAAACAAUAAUUUCUUCACGCUUCUCAUCUUUUUUAUUUUUGUUCAAGGAAUGAUUAACACCCAGAAUUGAAUUUCUUUCUUGGUCAUCACGACCACGGCCACAACCACGACUAUAUCCAGGGCCGCGACCUUUUCCACGCCUAGCGUGGUAAGCAUGCAUAUCAUUCACCUCAGGGAAUGGUGCAGAUACAGUAGGUGGAUUCUCGAAAUUUUUCGUCAAAAAAUCAUUAUUUUGUUCAUCAACGAGAAGAUGAGAACUCAGUUCAGUAUAUUUCUUGAAACCUUUUUCUCGAUAUUGCUUCUAUGAUAGUAUUUUCGAGGCAUGAAAGUGGAGAGCGUCUUUUCCAUCAUAUCGUCAUCAUUGACCGUCCCUUCACAUAGUUUCGAUUAAGAAGAAAUUCUGAACAUGACAGAAAUGUACUUAUGAAUAGACUUAUAGUCUUGAAACCUUAGAUUCAUUCAUUCAUAUUGUGAUUUUGGGAGGAUGACCAUAUUUAAGUGGUCAAACCUUUCUUUUAGGAUGUUCCACAAUACGAGUGGAUCCUUAGUAGUAAGGUAUUCAAUUUUCAAAAUUUCAUCAAGAUGAUGAUGGAACAAAAUCAUAGCGUUAGCACGAUUUUGAUUAGAUGCUGUAAUUUCUUUUUUUAUGGUGUCUCCAAGACCCAUAGCAUCUAGGGGGCUAUCAGCAUCCAGCAUUCAUAAAAUAUAGUUCUUGCUCGAACUUUGAAGUGCAACGAACUCAUACUUAGUAAGAUUAUUAUACAUACGAAAAAGGGAAGAAAAAUAAUACCUUAGCCUUUAAAUUUGAGACGGUGGAGUCUUGUGCUGAUAACAUGUUAUAAAAUAAUAAAGAAUAAAGAACAAGAGUAUAGAGAGAAGAGAGAGUAAUUGUUAUUUCUCUUGAGGAUGAUUUACAAUGAAGGAAUUCCUUCUAUUUAUAGGGGAAAUUUGCUUCAAUUUUCACACUAAAAAGACAAAUACGUCAAAUCCUGAUAGACAUCAACUAAUUCUUGAUAGAUCUUGAUAGACAUUCACUAUAACUGAUAUUCAUCAAUAUCAUAACAAGAGCAAAAUAAUUGUCUAUUCUUGAUAUGUUAAAAGUGACAAAUAAAAGUGAAAAUCUUAUCUUUUAAUUAAUGAACAAGUAACAUGACCGAUGGAGUAAAUGACUUCUCCACAUCUACUUUAUAUAUUAUAGUAAAAACAUAUGAUUUUUUUACGAAUAUAUUAUUGGGUUCAUAGUAUAUGAAAGAAGUGUGAAUGAAAAAACGGAGAAUAAAAUGAUGGAGGGGAAAGAGACACUAAAAUGGAAAGUGUACUCCCAAAUUAGAAAGUUUACUCUUUCUCCCACAUUGGUGGAAGAAGAGAACUUGAAAGUGUUUAUAAUCAAGAACACUCACUCCACAUGGGAAGUGAGGCAAGAAAUAAUAGAUGUCUCACGCCCUCAUUGUCGUUACUCGCUCGGCUCGGCUUCGACUUCGGCUUCGGAUUUGGAUUUGGAUAGUGAUCGAUCGAUGAGAUCUAUCUUUUUAGACAAAUUUCUGUAGUGUUUUGACAGUUGCACUGUUUUGAAGUGAACUGAUGCAUUGUUUUCGAACUGGUGCUUCAAAAAUGAUACAUUUUUUUGAACUGAUGAACUGAGGCUACAGAAGGUUGCAAUGGGUUCGAAAUAAUGUUUCAGUAGGAUGUAAUCCUUCAAUGAAGUGACACACUAAUUCAUGAAAUGAGAUGACUGUUCAGGAAAAGAUGCAUUCUUUAAUGAACAGACAUGAACUUACAGCAAAGGUGUAACCUUUGGAGUGAACUCUUUUCACAGAGGAAUGUUAUGGCUAUAUAAACUUGCUUUCAUUCACAGGUUUUGAUACGAAAUUUCAGAAUAAAAAAUACUCUUCUUGUCUUUAAAAAUUGUGUGAUCAUUCAAACUGUUGAGUGCGUUCGACGUGUCUAAAUAUUUGAGGUACCGCUAUAUUUGGAUUGAAGGCCAUUUUAUCCUGGGAGGAAAAAUUCCAUAACCUCGGGUACACUGAGAGGAAUUGUUUCCUUAAUGAAACUCCAUGAAUUCGGACGACUUAGCCUUAUUCAUUUCUGUUUCAUCUUGAUUUCUGAAAAUAAAAUAUACUUCUAAGAAAGAUCACUUUGAUCUUGUGUUGAGGGUAUUCUACAUAUACAGAUUAUGCGUACCGGUAGAAGGAAAUAACAAUCUUAAGGAAACAACUUUCAGAAUCUGUAUAGCUUGUUUUUGGAGAUCAAAGUUUUAACUUUCUACUCCGCCUGAACUUAACUAAUAAUUUGAAGUCAUAAAAAUUUCAUUACAAGUUAAAGAUCAUCCGGUUGACAAUUGGAAGUCAUAAAAACUUCAUUGUCAACUAGAAACAAGAAGAAAAGUUUAAAGUUGCUUAACUUUAUAAGUAGUCAUCUGAAAAUACUAAGUAUUUUUUGUCUUGUGGUGACAGGAAAAAUGACAAGCGAUAGUCAAAUGCAAGAUGCGGCAACGUCUGUGGGGUUAACUAAUAUUGUCACAUCAAGUCGCACAAAUGCUCCGCCUACAAUGGCACCAGCGGAAAAGCCUGGAAAAUUUAUGGGCAUUGACUUUAAAUGAUGACAAUAAAAGAUGUUCUUUUAGCUCACCACUCUGUGUAUGCAACGGUUCACUAGUGAAGACGCUCUUGAGGUGCCCGAGGGAACCUCGGACAAAGAGCGUUUUGUAAUUGUAGAAACUUGGAAACAUUCAGACUUCUUUUAUAGGAAUUAUAUUCUGAGUGGUCUCCAAAACGACCUCUACAAUGUCUACAGUGGAACAAAGACAUCGAAGAAAUUGUGGGGUGCACUUGAACAAAAAUAUAAAACAGAGGAUACAGGAAUUAAGAAAUUCCUUGUUGCACGGUUCCUGAACUUUAAAAUGAUAGAUAGCAAAUCGGUUGUCUCUCAAGUGCAGGAGUUGCAAGUCAUCAUACAUGAUCUCCUAGCAGAAGGUAUAUCUUUAAAAAAUACCUUAGUUGAACAAAUUUAAAAAGUUCUUAAUACUCACAAAAACUGUUUUGUAGGUUUUAUUGUGAAUGAUGCAUUUCAAGUAGCAGCGAUAAUUGAGAAGCUACCACCUUUUUGGAAAGACUUCAAAAACUACUUGAAGCAUAAACGCAAGAAGAUGAUUGUCGAAGAUCUUACUAUCCGAUUGCGUAUUAAAAAGGACAAUAAAGCUGCCGAGAGAUGGUCAAAAGGGAAUUCUACAAUUAAUGGAACCCAUAUUGUAGAAGAUGACCAAAACAAUUCUAAGAAAAGAAAGAAAGCUGAACAAGGAAGCAAUCAACCCAAGAAGAAAUUCAAGGAAAAAUGCUUCAAUUGUGGCAAGAUGGACCACAAGUCCAUGGAUUGUCGUGCCCCGAAGAAAUGUAAGAAAAAGGAUCAAGCAAAUAUGAUUGAAUCCAACAAAAAAUGCGAUGAUUUGUGUGCUAUGUUCUCAGAAUGCAACUUGGGGGGAAAUCCUCUUCAAUGGUGGAUGGAUUCUGGUGCCACCCGCCAUGUAUGUGCCAACAAAGAGUUGUUUUCAUCAUUCUCUCCGGCUCAAGUAGAAGAAAUGAUCUACAUGGCUAACUUCGCUACGGCUAAGGUAGAAGGCACAGGAAAAAUAUGUUAGAAAAUGACUUCAAGAAAGGUCUUGACACUUAACAAUGUCUUGUAUGUUUCGGAGUUACGUAGGAAUUUAAUUACUGUUUCACUACUAGACAAGAACGGAUUCAAAUGUGCAACCAUUUUUGAAAAAAUUGUAAUUAGCAAAGGAGAAAUGUAUGUGGAAAAAGGCUAUCUGAUCGAAGGCCUUUAUAAGAUGAAUGUAAUGACUGUUGAAAUAAACAAGUUCAAAUUCUUCUUAUUUGUUUGAGUCUUAUGAUUUAUGGAAUGAACGUUUUGGCCAUGUUAAUUAUAAAACGUUACAAAAAUUAAUUAACUUAGAAGUUUUACCAAACUUUGAGUGCACUAAAUUAAAGUGUCAAAUAUGUGUGGAAUCGAAGUAUGGAAGGCAUCCUUAUAAGUCCGUUGAAGGGAAUUCCAAUCCCUUAGACUUAAUACACACUGACAUUUGUGAUAUGAAGUUAACACCAUCACGUGGUGGGGAAAAGUAUUUCAUAACUUUUAUUGAUGAUUGCACGAGAUAUUGUUAUGUCUAUCUGCUAAAUAGUAAGGAUGAAGCAAUAGAUGCGUUUAGGCAAUAUAAAACCAAAGUUGAAAAUCAAUUAGACAAAAGGAUCAAAAUCAUAAAAAGUGAUAGGGGUGAAGAAUAUGAAUCUCCCUUUGCGAAAAUAUGUGUAGAGAAUGGAAUCAUCCAUCAAACUACGGACCCAUAUUCACCUCAAUCUAAUGGAAUUGCAGAAAGGAAAAACCAAACUUUGAAGAAAAUGAUGAAUGCCUUACUUAUAAGUUCUAGAUUACCGCAAAACUUGUGGGGGGAGGCUAUCCUUACGGCCAACCUUAUACUCAAUAGAGUUCCCCAUAGUAAGACACAAUCAAUUCCUUAUGAAAAGUGGAAAGGAAGAAAACCCAACUUGAAAUAUUUCAAAGUGUGGGGGUGUCUAGCAAAGGUCCAAGUUCCUGUGCCUAAAAGGGUUAAGAUAGGACCUAAGACGAUAGAUUGUGUGUUCAUAGGAUAUGCUAAAAGAAGUAAGGCAUGUCGAUUUUUGAUUCAUAAAUUCAAACAUCCGGAUAUUAAUGAAAAAACUGUAAUUGAAUCAGACAAUGCUGAAUUCUUUGAAAACAUUUAUCCGUAUAAAACUAGACAUGAACAGCCUAGUGGGGGAUCUAAAUGACCUCGUGAUGAACCAAUUAAGAAUGAACAUAAUGAAUAAAAUCCAAGACGUAGUAUACGUCAAAGAAGUUUACUUCGUUUGGAUUGGAUUUUGUGAUAUUUUUUUUGGAAAAUGAGCCUCAAACAUUUAAGGAAGCGAUGGAAUCUUCGGAUUCAUCCUUUUGGAAAGAGGCAGUCAAUAGUGAGAUAGAUUCAAUCUUAAGAAACCAUAUAUGGGAAUUGGUUGACCUUCCUCCCGGAAAUAAACCUUUAGGUUCCAAAUGGAUCUUCAAAAGAAAGAUAAAAUUGGAUGGUACUAUUGAUAAAUACAAGGCAAGACUUGUAGUAGAAGGCUUCAAACAGAAAGAAGGCCUUGAUUACUUUGAUACAUACUUGCCAGUAACAAGGAUAACAUCGAUUCGAAUGUUAAUUACCUUGGCUGCGGUAUAUGGCCUUGAGAUCCAUCAAAUGGAUGUGAAAACCGCUUUCCUAAAUGGAGAAUUGAAGGAAGAAAUAUACAUGAAACUGCCUAUGGGUUUUGUAUUUUUCCAAGUUCCUGUGCCUAAAAGGGUUAAGAUAGGACCUAAGACGAUAGAUUGUGUGUUCAUAGGAUAUGCUAAAAGAAGUAAGGCAUGUCGAUUUUUGAUUCAUAAAUUCAAACAUCCGGAUAUUAAUGAAAAAACUGUAAUUGAAUCAGACAAUGCUGAAUUCUUUGAAAACAUUUAUCCGUAUAAAACUAGACAUGAACAGCCUAGUGGGGGAUCUAAAUGACCUCGUGAUGAACCAAUUAAGAAUGAACAUAAUGAAUAAAAUCCAAGACGUAGUAUACGUCAAAGAAGUUUACUUCGUUUGGAUUGGAUUUUGUGAUAUUUUUUUUGGAAAAUGAGCCUCAAACAUUUAAGGAAGCGAUGGAAUCUUCGGAUUCAUCCUUUUGGAAAGAGGCAGUCAAUAGUGAGAUAGAUUCAAUCUUAAGAAACCAUAUAUGGGAAUUGGUUGACCUUCCUCCCGGAAAUAAACCUUUAGGUUCCAAAUGGAUCUUCAAAAGAAAGAUAAAAUUGGAUGGUACUAUUGAUAAAUACAAGGCAAGACUUGUAGUAGAAGGCUUCAAACAGAAAGAAGGCCUUGAUUACUUUGAUACAUACUUGCCAGUAACAAGGAUAACAUCGAUUCGAAUGUUAAUUACCUUGGCUGCGGUAUAUGGCCUUGAGAUCCAUCAAAUGGAUGUGAAAACCGCUUUCCUAAAUGGAGAAUUGAAGGAAGAAAUAUACAUGAAACUGCCUAUGGGUUUUGUAUUUUCAGGAAAGAAAAACAAGGUGUGUAAACUUAUUAAGUCAUUGUAUGGACUAAAGCAAGCACCUAAAAAAUGGCAUGCAAAGUUUUACCAAACCAUGUUGGCAAACGGAUUCAAAAUAAAUGAAUGUGAUAAAUGUAUUUAUAUUAAAUACAUUCCAAAUCACCAAGUCAUUAUUUGUUUAUAUGUGGAUGAUAUGUUAAUCAUCAGUAGAGACAUUUCGAACAUAAAUGCUACAAAAUGAAUGCCCGAGAGCAAGUUUGAUAUGAAAGACCUUGGAGUUACGGAUGUGAUCUUAGGUAUAAGAAUCCAUAGAACUCCACAAGGGUUGGCAUUGUCACAGUCUCAUUAUAUUGAAAAGGUACUUGACAAAUUAAAGUAUAUGAAAUUUGGUAUUGCUAAGACUCAAUUGGAUGCGAGCUUUGCACUUCGAAAGAAUGAAGGUGAAAGUGACUCAUAAUUGGAGUAUGCAAGAGUAUUGGGAUGUUUAAUAUAUAUAACGAACUGUACAUGACCAGACAAAGCAUGCGCUAUCAGUAAAUUGAGUUGGUACACGAGUAGUCCCAACAAAACUAAUUGGAUGGCAUUGAAAAGAGUUUUGGGGUUUCUUGAAUACACUCAAGAUUAUACUUUGAAUUAUAAUAAAUAUCCCGCAGUACUUGAAGGAUCUAGUGCUGCAAAUUGGAUCACUGGAUCGACCGAAGUAAAAUCCACAAGUGAAUAUGUAUUUACUAUCGGUGGAGGAGCGGUCUCUUGGAAAUUAUCCAAACAGACUUGUAUUGCUCGCUCUACAAUGGAAUCUAAAUUUAUCACAUUAGAUAAAGUCAGUGAAGAAGCAGAAUGGCUCCGGAAUUUCUUGGAAGAUAUUCCUUAUUGGCCCAAACCAGUGGCACCAGUAUGUAUACACUAUGAUAGCCAAGCGACAAUAGGCAAGGCAGGGAGCAUGAUGUACAACGGUAAACCUCGUCACAUACGAUAGAGACAUAAUACCAUUAGGGAACUUCCCUCUAGUGGAAUUAUCACUAUUGACUAUGUAAAGUCAAAGGAUAAUGUGUCGGAUCCACUUAUAAAAGGUCUAUCUAGAAAAGGAGUGGAAAGAACAUCCAAGGGAAUGGGUUUAAGGCCUAGGAUGAGUCAGCAUGGCGGUAGGUCUACCUAGCAGACUGGAGAUCCCAAGAGAUAGGUUUAAGGAGAUCAAACAAAGUUAUGUCUGACAGGUUCAACAUUAUCAAUUACCCAACUCAUUCUCAUGAUGUACAAAAUGUUUAGUAAACAAGGAUAAGACUUAAGGUGAAAAGUCUUUUAAUGAUUAUCUAAAUUUGGCAGAUUAGACCAAAUAGUUUAAUCUACAGGAUUGAACAUUUAGAAAUCACCUAUGUGAGAGCGAAGUGGAAGCCGCUUCAAAGAGAAUGUUAGUAAAGGCGUAUUCUCUUAGCUCUCAUGAAACUGGGACGUGUUCAUGGCUGAAAAGAACAAAACCGUAAGAACCAUAAAUGGUAAAAGGUUGGUUGUGUGACAUGUUUACUCUUUCUCCCACAUUGGUGGAAGAAGAGAACUUAAAAGUGUUUAUAAUCAAGAACACUUACUCCACAUGGCAAGUGAGGCAAGAAAUAAUAGAUGCCUCGCAUCGUCGUCGUCGUAGCUCGCUCGCUCGGCUCGGCUUCGGAUUUGGAUUUGGAUAAUGAUCGAUGAGAUCUAUCUUUUGGACAAUCUUUAUUUGAAUUUCGAAGAAUGCCAAGGAAAAAUGCUGUAAAAUUUUUCUGCAGUGUUUCGAUAGUUUCACUGUUUCAAGUGAACUGAUUCAUUAUUUUUGAAUUGGUGCUUCAGAAAUGAUACAUUGUUAUGAACUGAGGCUACAGAAGGUUGCAAUGGUUUGAAAUGAUGAUUCAGAAGAAUAUAAUGCUUCAACGAAGUGAAACACUGAUUCAUGAAAUGAGAUGACUGUUCAGGAAAAGAUGCAAUCUUUGAUGAACAGACAUGAACUUACAGCAAAGGUGUAACCUUUGGAGUGAACCAUUGCCUCUUUUCAGAAGAGGCAUGUUAUGGCUAUAUAAACUUGCUUUCAUCCACAGGUUUUGAUACGAAAUUUCUGAAUAAAAAAUACUCUUCUUGUCUUCAAAAAUUUUGUGUGAUCAUUUAAACUGGUGAGUGCGUUUGAUGAGUCCAAAUAUUUGAGAUACCGCUAUAUUUGGAUUGAAGGUCAUUUUAUCCUGGGAGGAAAAAUUUCAUAAACUCGGGUACAGUGAGGGGAAUUGUUUCCUUAAGGAAACUCCGUGAAUUCGGACGACUUGGCCUUAUUCAUUUCUGUUUCAUCUUGAUUUUUGAAAAUAAAAUACACCUCUAAGAAAGAUCACUUUGAUCUUAUGUUGAGGGUAUUUUUUGUACUUCAUUGAGUUCUUGGUUUAAACUUGAACUAGUUGAAGUUAUCGUUCUACAUAUACAGAUUCUGCGUACCUGUAGAAGGAAAUAACAUAUAUAUCAUCAUUUAGUAUAAAAAACAAAUUAAAUGUGGAUGGUUCACAUAAAUUAGAGCAUAACAAUUAAUCUUGUCUAUAAAUAUAAGAGGUUAGCAAUAUGGAUACACAAAUCAUCAAAACAAAUUAACAUCCCUAAAGAUGAAGACCAUAUUACUCUUUCUUUUCCUUGAAAUAAUAUUCCUUCCCUUGUCAGCCUUGGCAACUCCCAACAACCAAGUAUUGAUAGAUGUACUCGAUACUAAUGGUAAUCCCCUCAACAAAAGCAAUAGGUACUGGAUAACUCUGGCCUACACCGCUAUGGACGGUGGAGGCAUACGUGUUGCUAAUCUUGGUAGUGAUCUACAACAAACCACUAUGUGUCCUACAUCAAUAGUACAAUCUCACCUUCCUACAGACGAUGGUAUCGCAGUUUAUUUUAUACCUAAGAAUCCAAAACAUCAAAAGAUUGUGGAGUCCACUCCGAUAAACAUCCAUUUCUAUUUUGAUUAUCCGAAUUUGUGUUCUAACCUAACUGUGUGGAAGGUUGACAACCUUGCAUCAGCAUUUCCACCACUUCCACACACCAUAAGCACAGGUGCACAGUUGAGGAAUCCCAACGAUGUGAGCACUAGGUUCCAAAUUUGGCCUCACGACAGUGACAACUAUAAGCUAGCGUUCUGUCUCGAAAGCACUAAUUAUUGCCAAGACAUUGACCUCAUCCCCGAAAAUGAAUAUAAUCGUUUGGUUCUCUCAGAGAACCCAAAGUUGUUUGUGUUCAAACUGGAUGAUAGAAUUGGAAUGGCAGCAGAAGCAUGAUGAUUAUGUUAUGCAGCCGGAUCCAGGAUUCGGAAGCUCCGGGUGCCACCUUAUUUUGAACAAUAAUGUAUACUCCGUAUGCUAUUUUCAGGAUAGUGGAGUCAAUAUUUAAGGAAUAAACUAUAAUUAUAUAUGUCAACAAAUACUACUAUUACACAUGAAGGCUUGCCUAGUUGGUAUUGUCAAGUGAUUUGUAAGAAGAGGUCAAGGGUUCCAUUCUUCAUAGCCACAAUAUGUUUUUUAAGAGAAAAUAGACAUAUAGUGCUAAAAAUCAUUCUAAAAAACUGAAAAAACAAUGUUGAGCGGAGAUCGAACCCACAUUGCUAGAGUAAAAGUCAACCAUUUCUACCACUUGCACCACCAAUUCCUUUGAUAUUGCGGGUGCCAAAAGUAAUAUUCAUACAUUAACUGAUACAUAUACACAUAGAUAUGCAGAGUUUCAAUCGAGAAGUGCGGGUACCGUGGCACCCCCAACCUUGUGAAUAGAUCCGCCCUUGAGGCGAUUCCGGGAUUUGAAGUUUGGGAGUGCACCAAUAUUGUCAAAGGCGCCCAUAAGUUCUGAAUAAGUUUAAUGUGCAGUUCAGAUUCUAAUUUAUAAUAUAUACUUUCCCUUGUCAAUGAGACUUUUCUGGAGAUACGAACACUAAACAAUUGAUAUUUCACUUAAUAAAAAAAAAUCAAUUUCUUUGUUCAUAUAUUUGUUAUUCAUGCUUAUAUUAUUAGUCUUGAACUAGACAUAUGUUUAUAUUUUUUCUCCUUUAUGCCUUUUUUUGUUAAAUCUCACACUUUAUUUGUACUUUGUACUUAAAUAUAAUGGACCUUGAAGCUUUUUCUUACCCUUUUUUGCUUUUGCUAAGACGAUGAAAAUUGUCUUUAAAACUAAAACUUGGUUGAGGAGAAUAAUAUCUAUCCAUUUCAAUUCACAAGAAUCAAUAACAAAUUCCUCCAAAAUAAAAAAUUCAUCAAGAAUAUAAGUAAAAAUAAUUAUUUAUUUAUUUUUAAUCAAAUUCCAUGAACUUAAAUAGAAGCAAGAAAAAAGAAAUAAAUAUAAUUUACAUACUAACUUUCAAGCAACAAGUAAAUAUUAAAAACAAUUAACAUUACCCAAACUUGAAUAAAAUAAUAAAAAAAAAAUGAAAGGAAGAAAUGUGUACCUAUUAGCAUCAAAUGGAAAAUUGUUCUUUUCUCUUUGUUCGGGUACUAUUAAUUUGUAAAUUGUAGUGUCGCUGGUGGCAUUUCAUUUGAGUUCCAAACCAGUUCACCCACACACGUUUUAUUAUUAAGGGUGCACAGUUAAAUAUAUUAACAUUUUAGUAGAAUAUAUAUAUGUAUAUAUACAAUUUUUUAAAACAAUUACCAAAUGCACGUGCACCCUCGAGACAUCACGUGGGUCCGCCUCUGAUGUUCACCAUAUGGCCACCACUUCCAAACACCAUAAGCACAGGUGCAGAGUUGGGAAAUCCCAACGAUUUGAGCAAUUGGUUCCAAAUUUGGCCUGACGAACGUGGUAACUAUCAGCUAGUGUUCUGUCUCCAAGGCACUAGUUAUUGCCAAAGCAUUGGCGUAGUCCCCCAAAGUGGAUAUCAUCGUUUGGUUCUCCUUUGUGUUUGAACCUGUGUGGAAGGUUGACAACAUUGGAUCACAUUUGCCACCACUUCCACAGACCAUAAGCACAGGUGCAAAGUUGGGAGAUCGACUUGAUCUGAGCAGCUGGUUCCAAAUUUGGCUUUUAGGUGGUAACUAUCAGCUAGUGUUCUGUCUCGAACGCGUUGUUGAUUGCAAAUACAUUGGCAUCGUCCUGCAAAAUGGAUAUCGUCGUUUGAUUGUUCUCUCAGAGGACCCAAUAAUGCCCGUUCUGUUCAAACUGGAUGAUAAAUUUGGACUGGCAGCCGAUGCAUGAUCUCGUCAUGUUAUGUCUAGAUCUACUCUAUGUAAGGUAUAAUAAUAAUAAUGCAUGCAGGGACUUUAUCCCAUUGCAUGGAUGUAAAACUUAAUAGAGUAAAUACAUAAUUAUCCUGAUCUUGUUCGAGAUUUACAAAAAGACACCUAAAUAUUAACUUUGACCUAUUACCCAUGAUUCUUCUUUAUUUCGUUGCAAACACACCAUUUUGAUCCUCUGAGUGUAUACACACGCCACAGGCACGUGAAAGGGCUUGAAUUUGACUGUUUUGACCAAUUAAAAGCUGUCAUGUGUAAAAUAAUUUAAUAUAUAAUUUAUAUUUUUUAAUCCACUCUUUCUUCUUCAACUCAAUUCACCAUUAAAGCUUCCAUUGCAGUUUUUUUCUUUUUCUUAAAUCAUUCAUUAAAGCUCCAUUUUACAACUAAAUCAUAUCAUUUAACUACCCACCAUUUCUUCUUCAACACAAUAUCUUCUUCAAUACUAUUAAAGCUGUUCAACACAAUGUCACCAUUAAAGCUCCUCCAAAGUUUAGUUUUUUUAAAAUCAUAUCAUUAAAGCUCAGUUUUUCAGUUAAAUCAUAUCAUUUAACUAUCUUUGAAACUCAAUUCAAUCAUAAAACUCUUAAUUCAAUCAUAAAACUAUUUUUUGAAUUGAUUUGAAAAAAAAUGGACGGGAAGAGAGAAUGGUA